CCUACGGGAGGCAGCAGUGGGGAAUAUUGCACAAUGGGGGAAACCCUGAUGCAGCAACGCCGCGUGAGUGAGGAAGUAUUUCGGUAUGUAAAGCUCUAUCAGCAGGGAAUAGAAAAGAAGGUACCUGAAAAAGAAGCCCCGGCUAACUACGUGCCAGCCGCCGCGGUAAUACGUAGGGGCCAAGCGUUAUCCGGAUUUACUGGGUGUAAAGGGAGCGUAGACGGAAAGUCAAGUCAGAAGUGAAAGCCCAAGGCUCAACCAUGGGACUGCUUUUGAAACUGGCAAACUAGAGUACAGGAGAGGUAGGAGGAAUUCGUGGUGUAGCGGUGAAAUGCGUAGAUAUUAGGAGGAACACCAGUGGCGAAGGCGGCCUACUGGACCGAAACUGACGUUGAGGCUCGAAAGUGUGGGGAGCAAACAGGAUUAGAUACCCGGGUAGUC
rnacentral:rRNA from 1 species